UAAGCUUUCUUCAUGUCUCAACGAAGCUGACUGUAGAAGAUACUUCCAACAACUUAUUGAUGUGUAAAUUAUUACCAUAGUAAAGGUGUUUAUCAUAGAGAUUUAAAGCCUGAAAAUCUUUUACUUGAUUCACAAGGAAAUAUUAAAAUUUCAGAUUUUGGUUUGAGUGCAUUUCCAGAACAGGAACUGUUUGGCUUGAGAAUGCAUCCAAUUCGUCAUCUCUCGAGUGUUUUAAUGGUGAUUCUGAGUCCAAUGAAGAAGGUCAGUCUUUGUCCAAUAGCAGGAUGAAUGAGGAAGAUGAUGAUGCCACUAAAGAAUUGCAGCCUGCUGAUCCUAACGAACCAGGUGUUUAGAGUACCAUUUAACCAUUUAAAGACACAUGAUGGAAAUGAAAUUAGGGAACUUAGGUGAGAAAAAAGUAGAAAUUACUGUUGAAAAAAGAGAGAAUUCAUCUCAAAGUUGCUUACUUGGCUGGUUGAUUUUGAUGUUUAGCUUGGUCAAUCAGUUCUAGUGUUAUGAGUUGAUUUUUAUUUAUCAGAAUUUUAGUUAUCUUUAUUCUGAUAAACUUUUUGGACGUUGAAUCACAAUGUAACUAACAUUAUUUUCUCAAUUUUGGUGAUUGUUUUAUAGGCUGGUUUGUCCCUGAUAGA